GGCCUGGUAGCACAGUGGUAGUGCUCCUGCUGUAGUUGGAUUGACAUUCCAAUCUUGGCAGGGCGUCCCGGUUCAAUCCCGGGUCAGGUCA